rnacentral:miRNA from 1 species
AUUUAUUAUAUAAUUUAUCUCUAUGUAUAUGUGUGUAUGUGUGUAUGUGUAUGUAUAGACACACACACAUAUAUACAUAUAUACACACACACAUAU